rnacentral:misc_RNA from 1 species
CAUUAUUGAAUUAAUAGUUGGUAGUGCUGAUGCUGGUGGUCAAACACAUGUGCUCGCUCUGCCACUUAUUAUUACCUUUCCACCUGUGAACUAUUGUAGAUGUUGAAGGUCACCUCUCAAGCUUCAUUGCUUGGUUUGGCGUUUGCGGGCUU